UAGAUUUUGGUCUUUUUUUUCUUUUUCCUUCAGAUUUUCAUUUGGGUUCUUCUUUGCUCAAACCUUUUGAGAGAACGCCUCACAUUUCAAUUCUCACUUCAUCUUUUCUUAUGCUUCCUCCUUUCCUUUUUUUUUUUGGUGAAUUUUGCUGUUCUUCUUCUUACCCUCUGCUUUGCAGCUUUGCGUAUUAUUUUCUGGCUGCCUUUCUUUUUUCUUUCAAUAUUGUAUAUUUUGGUUUUUCUGAAGAGGGACGUUGUUUCUAAUUAGUUGCAUUUUCUAAUUAGUUGCAUACCAUGAACGAAUCAAGAGGGUCGAAUUAAGAAAUAAUCCUGAGGUGUUGGAUGUUGGUUCAAAUAAUCUGUUUCAGCAGCUAUUAUUUUAUGUUUCUCUUCACCGAAUCAUGAAUGGAUUUCUUUAAUGACUUUUUGGUGGUCUUUCUUCAUGUUCUCUGUGUGGGUUCUGCUCAUGCAUGUAAUUAAUUGUUUGACAGCCUUUACGGGAGUACACACAAUGUGUAGAUAAGGCUUUUGAAGUGAAAGUCGCUCAAGAUGGGGAAAAAGAGAUACUACUAUAACUCUUGAAGAUGUGAGAUUAUUUUUUAUCCAGAAAUUUCAUUGACAUCACAGAGGUGAAGUGUAUCCCUUUACUGAGGUUCCUUCAUUGUGGAAUUUGUACAACUUCGUGGUAAAUGCUUCUCAUUAUUAGUAUGAUAAAUUUUGAAAAUGUAUAUUUGUAUCAUAGUAAAGACUAUUCUAUUUGAAGGUUUUCUUGUCAUACGCUUCUACUUAUUGGAGAAAUUUACCGAGGGUGAGUCUAUUCCCGAGUUAUAUGCAUUUACUUUGUAGUACAUUGUAUCUGACUCUUAGUUAAAUCAUAUGUGAUGGUCUGCAAAGUCAACUAUUAUAGUGGCUAUGAGCAGCUUUCCAUGAUGAUCUCAUCGUAAGAGAUUGACUUUCGGACCGUGUUUAUGACAAAUAUAAUAUUUGAUGCAAGUAUGACAAGAUUUGUGCAACUCAAGUACAAGAGUUUUGCUUUAAAACACAACACUCACUUCAGAAACGAAAACAAUUAAUUACAAGCAAAUAAAAAUUCGCUAUCCAUCAAGUCUUUCAAAGGAUUUUGUUCUCGAAGUAAUGUCAUCUGGUAUAUUUGGCUCAAUUUAUACUUUCAUUGUUUAUCUGUAGGAUGAGUGCUUUGGAAUGAUGUAAGCUCAUCCAGCUGAGAGUGAUGUAUAUUUGCUUGGGUUGCUAAGGUACUUAUAUGUGUCUUUCGUCUCACCACUGAACAACCGCGUAGCCUACCAGUCUGUCACUUUUCUAACUCGCUUCGUCUCUCUAGGAAGGUAGAGAGGAAGCCGACGGCUGUCAUCUCCGCACAUUCAAUCUCCUUUCACUUUCAAGUAAACCAAGCUCUGCUCUCUGUUGCAAAACACUUUUCUCUUUCUCUUUUUUUUUUUUUGUAGAUUUUGUAUGAUUUUCUGUUAUGUGAAAAAGCCAAGAAAGUUGAGAGAUGCUUGUGGGUGUCUGUUUUGUGAUCUAUGAAAGGUGGUAAAAGAUAUUGAAAUUCUUGAUGGGAAAUGGGUUUCUUUUUAAUUUCUUGGUUAUAAAUAACUAGAUGUAGCGAAUCUUGGAUUAUAAAUGAAAUACACCAGAUUAUUUCUCUAUUUGUUUUGAGUUGUAUAUGUUGAUAUUCCAAAAGUUCCAUACUACUAAUUUGAAUCUCAACUGAUUAUGGAAUUUUCAGGUUUUGCUUCUCUAUCUCAGUGCGCAUCUGUUUCUGUAUGUUAUAAACAUUUGAAUCUUGACUUUUUGAGUUUACAGUUAUUGAAAAUCUUUACGUACUUGGAAAUUCAAAUGUUUUCGCUGUAGGGAGAUUUUCUGGAUGAAUGAACUUCCUGGGAAAUUGAAUCUAAUUAUUUGUUUCUCUUUAAAAGAGAACACGUGGUUCCGCGUGGUUUCUUCCAUGCAUUUUCAGAUGUGUUCGUCAUUCGCAUAUCGUCUGAGAUUAGCUGAUUGCAACCAAAGCCCAGUCAGUGAACUUGACUAUGGUUGAACUUUAGUACUCGAGAUCUAAAAGUAUACUUUUGUCCUAUUUUGCAAACGGAAAAGGGCCAACAAUACCCCUAACGUAUUGAAAAUGGCUCAAAAAUACCAUCGGUUAACCUUUUGGUCCGCAAAUACCCCUAACGUUUGUUUUUUGGGCUUAAACUUACCCUUAUAUCUAACCAAACUUAUCUGGUCAAUUUUUUGACUUUAACUUCGUCAUGUGACAUUUUCUUAACGCAUCACGUAUAUUAUUUGUAUUAAAUAAAACUUGCAUGUAUCUUUUAAAAUACCCAACGACAUUGACCCGCUUCU